rnacentral:lncRNA from 1 species
GUGAAAAUGGUGAAAAAAAUGGUAGAAAUGAUAAAGGGUAUAACGAGAGAAGACUUGGGGGUUUCACUCCAAAAAGUUGCGUGCCCAUUUACGCUUUUAUUCCUUAUCAUGGCUGAACCAUUGACUUUUUUGUUUGUCUGGCAGGGAAAGUCACACACCUCUAUCUUUGAACAAGGAAUAGAGUCAUGUGCAGAAGCCUCCGGUGUCCUACGAGGGCAACCUGCGGAGGAGAAGAAAACCAAGGGGAGACCUCAAAAGCAAUAGCAGGAAAAGAGAAUGGCUUUGUCUGAGCCCAGCAGCAGAAGCAGUGGCACAGGGAAGGUAGUGAGGUUUAUGCAAUGAUCCUUGGAAAUGUUGCAUCUUCAGUGAGAGAGAAGAGGAAAGAGAUGGUAGUGUUUACUGCCAGCUUCACCUGGAGCCCUUGGUACCAGCCAUGGCCUCAGACUGUGGAGCAAAUGCCUGACAAGGAUCAAGAGCACAAACAUCUGCUCUCAAACUGCUCAGGAAGUCGAUGUGAGGAAUGGAGAAAACAUCCCAAGUGGUCAAAAAUAGCUCAAUAGAAGAAGAAAAACUACAACUUACACAUGAUGUGCCUGCAGUCGAUAUCCUGAAAAUUUGGACAUUCCCUGCGAAAUCCUGGUUCCAGUGGAGUUAAGGAAAUGUUCCUGUUGAGUAAGCAUUUUUGCCUGUAUAUCUAGGUCUAAAUAUAAUUAAACAUUAGAUCCUGAUUUGUCUCCCAACUCAUCCUUAAUAGGAAUAUCGAUAAUCUUUAAUAGAAAUAGUAACUGCAGCUGUUAUAGCUAAUAUUUUACUAAUUGUUAGUUUACUUUUUCCAGGGUGAUUCUCCUAUAUGGGAUGUUCUCCUGUCAUUCAAUUGAAGUGAAAGUGACAGUCCUGUCUAGUGAUCUUAUUUCAAGAAUUGGGAUGCCAAGUCCUUUUCCAUUGGUGUUGGAGCUAAUUUCUGCUGAGACCGUAAUAACACAUGAAGUCAAGGUGGUGUUACUGCCUGAAAGGAAGAAUACACAGAAUAAAAAGGUAUUGAAGAACCUGUAUAGAUACAUUUUUUCUUCAGAAAUGAUUUUGUUGUUCUUUUGGGCUGCAGCUGGAAGGAAGUGUUGCUCUUUUCAGACACAUAAUCUAAAAGCAUCUGAAAAAGCAAAGAAUUCUCUCCAGCUUUUCAAAGUGAGCAUAUGGGCAUUGUAGGGAUAUCACAACUACAUCUUAUUAUCCAGCUGCUAUUUGUGUGUAAAUCGGGAACAGCUGCAUGGCUGGCCGGCUGGAACACACGGAAUCAACCAGGUACUUACAUAAAAAUAUUUCUGAAUAGUUUUAGUUAAUCCCCAUUUUAUUUAGACAGUUACUGUUCCUCGCAGAAGAUUGUUGAGACAUCAAGAUAGCAGUUAGAAAGAAGUUUGAAUUAAUAGAAGUAUGGAAACUGUCUAGAGGGGGGGAAAAGGGAGCUCACUCUUUCUUCUCUACCUUUACAGAUCGAGAAUUGGGUGGAUUGGGAUUAAAAAAAAAAAGUCUGUGUGGGUUUAGAAUCCUUGAAAAUGCCAAAAAUGGAGUAAUUGGCUGACAGGUACAGACUGCAGAUGGGGCUCUUUCAUCACUGCCCUCAGUGAAUGAAAUUCUUUUCCUUCCACAUUCAAACCUAAUAUAAGCUUUUUGAUUUCACCCCAGAUGGUUUCACCUUUGAGCUAAGAAGCAGUAAGGUAUGUAUAAUUGGAGCAAAUCAUUCAAAUCCCUUUAAAAAGCAACGCAUUAAGCAUGCACAAAUUUUAAAAAGGACAAUUAUAAAGAAACAUCUUUUUAAAAGUGCUUUUGCAGUGAAUAAAAAAAAUUUAUUUCUUCA